rnacentral:rRNA from 1 species
GACGAACGCUGGCGGCGUGCUUAACACAUGCAAGUCGAACGGUAAGGCCCUUCGGGGUACACGAGUGGCGAACGGGUGAGUAACACGUGGGUGAUCUGCCCUGCACUUCGGGAUAAGCCUGGGAAACUGGGUCUAAUACCGGAUAGGACCACUGCCUGCAUGGGUGGUGGUGGAAAGCUUUUGCGGUGUGGGAUGGGCCCGCGGCCUAUCAGCGUGUUGGUGGGGUGAUGGCCUACCAAGGCGACGACGGGUAGCCGGCCUGAGAGGGUGACCGGCAACACUGGGACUGGGGUACGGCCCAGACUCCUACGGGAGGCAGCAGUGGGGAAUAUUGCACAAUGGGCGCAAGCCUGAUGCAGCGACGCCGCGUGAGGGAUGACGGCCUUCGGGUUGUAAACCUCUUUCAGCACCGACGAAGCGCAAGUGACGGUAGGUGCAGAAGAAGGACCGGCCAACUACGUGCCAGCCGCCGCAGUAA